rnacentral:lncRNA from 1 species
GGCAGGGGGUGACUCCAGCAAGCUCGCAGUUGAAAAAGGACUGAGUGAAGCUCGGUCACGUUCUCGAACUCUCUCCAAACACAAGCGUGACCGCACUCCUCCCCGAGCUCGUAGGAAGAGGAGCUCAGACCGCAGGGUUCGACGGAGCUCUCCCCCAGGAAGAUUCCACAGCUACGCCCCCGUCAAUGCUCCAAAAGCUCAAGUGCCGAUGGAGGUCAGGGAGUAGCUGCCAAGGUCGGAAAGGAUGCGUACACAUCCUGAAAAAUGCAACCCUAACAAGUUCUCCCUCUAUCAUUGUGACCACGGUCACGACACGGAGGAGUGUAUUCAGCUCUGAGACGAGAUCGAAGAGCUCAUCAGACGAGAUCGGCUCGACAGAUUCAUUCGACGUCGGUCUGAAAGUAGGGAAGAUCAACCGAGGGCCCUACCACAACCGGAGCCGCCAAUGAGGGAGGAACAGCUUGAAGAUCGGCCUCUAAUCGAGAUCAACACCAUAUCUGGAGGACCCCAACGGAGAGCAGACCUUCCGCGACUAUGGGAUUCGAAAAAUCUAAGAAUGUAUUACCGAUAAUUUUGCCUUAAGUAAAAAUUUCUUUCAUAUUCGCAUAUCUUUUCUUUUGGUAUGAGCUUAUAACGAUAGAGAGUAGCUCCUUCAGACAAUCGAAAUUAAGCAUGUCAGGAACAAGAGAAAAAUUUCGUCCUGACACGAACGAAGGUCCGAUUAUUUAGAGACUGGAUGGAGGGAGAGGCCCUUGCAACGACCCUUAUGCGCCCCCACAGUCAUGUUAGGAUCAGGAGGAGAACCUCGUCCUAACAUGAGCAAAGUCGAAGGUCCAAUUAUUUAGAGACCGGAUGGGGGGAGAGGCCCUUGCAAUGGUCUUUAUGCGGCCCCACAGUCAU